rnacentral:misc_RNA from 1 species
CUUUCCAACCCACCAUCUGCAUCCUUCUUCGAACAACGUCAAGAGGGUAAGCAACAGUUUGCCCCAUAGUCCCUGCCACAGCCCCACAUGCCAGCCUUGUAACAACACCAAGCUCAGUAGAAUCAUCAACUAGACCAAGUGGUUUUGUUUUGACCAACCAUUCUUUUAGAGACUCGUAAACUGCAAAGUUAAGUCCCACAUAUGGAAUAACUCCUAUGACAGAAGGAAGCCAUCCUUUGUACAAAGCACGUGGACCUUCCUCACGAAGUAUGGUGGAUAGGGCAUGUACCAUUCCUCUGUAUUGAUAAGGAGACUUCUCUGUCUGCACAGUGAUUCUUCCCCGCACCAUGUCCAUUGGAUAAGUUGCAGACAUGGCUAUUAUGCCAGCACAAGCUCCAGCUCCAAGACGCAGUAAGGGAGUGAGCUGAGCAUCUUCAUUGCCAGUUUGUUGCUGGUAAAGAUAAAGUAUACCCUUGGAAGCUUGCUCAUAGCUGAAGAACUUGACUGCUGAGUUUGGGACGAUACGUGCACAAUUGGUACCAUUGCCCUUGAACAGUCCUUUGAACCCCUCAGUUCUCCAGAUAUAUUUUAAGCCUGAAAUGGUCCCAUUGUAUUUUAUGCUAUGUGAAUUUUGAACCUGGAGCAAUAUCUUUAGCCGUUCCAGUGGGGCCACAGCAGUUCGUGACACGCCUCCGGCGACACCUCCAGCUACGAGUGACUUGCAGAUACUGAUAACAGCAUGGCUUGUUGGCCUGAUUUCUUGUCUAGCUAACUUCGCCUCUUCUGCGAGAUUCACAAUUUUCUCCACCGCUGAUUCGCUCGCCUUCACAUCCUCAGAAGCCAUAUAAGAUCGAGAUCGCCUAGUUUAUAGCUCAACCUAAUACGAAUCCUUAGAUUUUGAACACUGUCAAAAAUAUACUCAGUUCAAAACCAGAGGACCGAUCGGAAUAUGGACGAGCUAAGGGAAAAAUGUAAUUUUCCCCGCGACGGUAUACUGAAUCCCGGUGGUU